rnacentral:rRNA from 1 species
AUUGAACGCUGGCGGCAGGCCUAACACAUGCAAGUCGAACGAGUGGCGGACGGGUGAGUAAUGUCUGGGAAACUGCCUGAUGGAGGGGGAUAACUACUGGAAACGGUAGCUAAUACCGCAUACCAUCAGAUGUGCCCAGAUGGGAUUGGAUUGUGGGUGGGUUAACGGCUAACCAAGGCGACGCUCCCUAGCUGGUCUGAGAGGAUGACCGGCCACACUGGAACUUCGACACGGUCCAGACGCCUACGGGAGGCAGCAGUGGGGAAUAUUGCACAAUGGGCGCAAGCCUGAUGCAGCCAUGCCGCGUGUAUGAAGAAGGCCGUCGGGUUGUAAAGUACUUUCAGCGGGGAGGCGUUACCCGCAGAAGAAGCACCGGCUAACUCCGUGCCAGCAGCCGCGGUAAUAC